UACGAGAGGCCCAAACGUUAUUCGGAAUUACUGGGCUUAAAGAGUUCGUAGGCGGCGCAGAAAGUAGGGUGUGAAAGCCCUCGGCUCAACCGAGGAAUUGCGCUCUAAACUACUGUGCUUGAGGAAUCUAGAGGUGAGCGGAACUGAUGGUGGAGCGGUGAAAUGCGUUGAUAUCAUCAGGAACACCGGAGGCGAAGGCGGCUCACUGGGGAUUUUCUGACGCUGAGGAACGAAGGCCAGGGGAGCAAACGGG
rnacentral:rRNA from 1 species